UACGGGGGGGGCAAGCGUUGUUCGGAAUUACUGGGCGUAAAGGGCUCGGUAGGCGGCCAACUAAGUCGGACGUGAAAUCCCCAGGCUCAACCUGGGAACUGCGUCCGAUACUGGAUGGCUUGAAUUCGGGAGAGGGAUGCAGAAUUCCAGGUGUGAGCGGUGAAAUGCGUAGAUAUCUGGAGGAAUACCAGUGGCGAAGGCGGCAUCCUGGACCGACAUUGACGCUGAGACGCGAAAGCGUGGGGAGCAAACAGGG
rnacentral:rRNA from 1 species